rnacentral:rRNA from 1 species
GACGAAUGCUGGCGGCGUGCUUAACACAUGCAAGUCGAACGGAAAGGCCCCCAUCUUGGUGGGGGUGCUCGAGUGGCGAACGGGUGAGUAACACGUGGGUGAUCUGCCCUGUACUUCGGGAUAAGCUUGGGAAACUGGGUCUAAUACCGGAUAGGACCAUGGUUUAGUGUCUCAUGGUGGAAAGAUUAUUGUUUUGGUGCAGGAUGAGCUCGCGGCCUAUCAGCUUGUUGGUGGGGUAAUGGCCUACCAAGGCGUCGACGGGUAGCCGGCCUGAGAGGGUGGACGGCCACAUUGGGACUGAGAUACGGCCCAGACUCCUACGGGAGGCAGCAGUGGGGAAUAUUGCACAAUGGGCGCAAGCCUGAUGCAGCGACGCCGCGUGGGGGAUGACGGCCUUCGGGUUGUAAACUCCUUUCGUUAGGGACGAAGCCGCACUUUUUUUGGGUGUGGUGACGGUACCUUUGUUAAGAAGCACCGGCUAACUACGUG